rnacentral:lncRNA from 1 species
AAGAGGCUCCACAGAUUGGGCCCCACUGGAUCAUUGAACCCCUGUUCCCUGAGUUCUAGAGGAAGAAUUGUACCUGUCUCAGUCCCGGCCACCUCCAGAAGGCCUCCCUCUGCAUUUCUGACUUUGCUGUGCCGGCAGCCUGGAGCCUCCCAGGUCCCUGCUGUCAUCUUUUCUAGCCACUACAGUCUCUGUCUUUCCUUUCACAGCCAAGCUUCUUGAAAGGCCUGUCUACACUUGCUGUCUUCCUUCCUCACCUCCAAUUUCCUCUUCAACCCACUGCUUCCUGACUCGCUCUACUCCGUGGAAGCACGCUCACAAAGGUAAAGACUUUUCUGUGGCUUAAUCCUUGUCAUGUUUUCGGCUCAUGGACACAAGGACACAUUUUCAUGCCUUCUCUCACAGGGCUCUGCGUCUCCGGUUCACUUCUGUGUCUUUACACUCCCUUCACAGAGACACUUGCUCCCCCUUCUCUCGUUCUUAGCAUCCCCUAGGAACUUGCACACCCAGGUCUCUCGACUUCUGGACCUGCUUCUUACCAUGCCGUCUUAAGCAGUCAGGAGUCGCUGCCUGGGUUCGAGUCCUAGUUAAAUUACUUAGUGCUGAGACCUUGGGGUAGGUAAACUUUUCCAAGCCAGGUUUAUCUCAGUUUCAAAAUAGGGUUAAUCGUCUUUAUCUGGCAGGUCAGGUGGGAUGUCUCACAGGUAAGCACCAGAUGCCAUUUGAAAGGCUUGAAGCAAAGUCAAUAAAGCAUUCAUGGGAAAAUACAACUGGAGGCACCACUAGAUUUUCGUAUACAUUAGGUUCCCACGGGGAGGACCGAAGAGAGAAGAAAGAAGUGGAAAGGGAGGAGCGUGCAGGAGAGACAGGAGAAGAGAAUAACUAAACAAAGACAUUAAAGACAAAAAAAAAGUAGGAAAGGGAGACUUAGAAAAUAUUAAAAGCCACCAAAAACACAUCCAAAGACGGUUUCCCCUUACGUUAGUUGGGCUAAAAGAAAGCAAAUGGGAAGAAGGUUUUAAAUUGAUUAUCCCAGUGACAAAUCCCAGGAAGCUUUCACAUCAAAUCACCCUAUUCUGGGUUUUUAACUCCUUCCAUCGAGUUUAACCUCUUUACCUCCCACAUCCUGGUAAACCCUGCCCCCUCCCUACCGCCCCCUUUGCUGGUGAUUAAAUCCUGAAGGUACACGAAGUAUUUCAGUGAAUGAAUGGCUAACAGAAAAGGGCCUCCCCUCCCCCUUACCCUGGCGGUGUUUUUCAGUUUUAUUCCACUUUCCGCCCUUUUCCCUUAAUGAACACAGGGCUAAUCUCGGGCCUUGUCGAAGGAAGAGGCUGCAGACGUUAAUGAGGUUAGCUGCUGGAUUCCAGUAUUCGUCGCAUAAGGAUCCUUCUUUGUCUGCGAAGGAAAAACACACUGAUUAUCAUAAUGAGGUGAACUGGCCACCGCCGGGCCGGGGCGAUGUGGCUUCUUAAGCCACACUUCUAAUUUUGGUGAUGGAGCCGACAUUUCUUUGGCUUCUCAUUUAAGUCUUUGCCUCUGUCCCAGUGCGAAGUCCAUUCAGCGGGGUUGAAAGUUGCAGGCAGCUUUGGGAAGGGGGGCGUCGGACAGGGUUGCAUUGUAGAAAGUGGCUUUGUUCGAUCCUUCGCACAGAUGCAAAUGGCCAGAGCAUUCAUUCCCUUUCUUCAAGAGCUGAGGACUGGGGGGGCCACUGGUGAUCAGUUCCCAACUCUAGCUCUCCUCUGACUCAUCUCAGGACCCAUUGAGGACAUCCAAAACUCACUCAAGAUCACCAAGUGGUAGGAAAGUACUAACUCCUGGGCAUAGCCCUAGGGGAGUGACUACAAUGUGAAUACUCAUGGAAUGCCUAGCCAGGUGAAGAAGUGAAUGCAUGUUGGCAUCCCAGAGGGACCCCCCUUAAGAGGGCAUAGUUUGGGGUUCAGAUUUGACUCCAGCAUACUGUUGAAAUUGGGCACAGGGGGCUAGUGAUUAGUCAGGAUCAAUCAGUGGAGAGGAGAUUAAAACUCACAUCUGGGAGUCCGGAAUCAGAACUUGUAGUUCUUUUUUUUGAAAUGGAGUCUCGCUCUGUCGCCCAGGCUGGAGUGCAGUGGCGUGAUCUCGGCUCACUGCAACCUCUGCCUUCCGGGUUCAAGCAAUUCUCCCACCUCAGCCUCCUGAGUAGCUGGGAUUACAGGCGCCCACCACCACAGCCGGCUACUUUUUGUAUUUUUAGGAGAGACGGGGUUUCACCAUGUUGGUCAGGCUGGUCUUGAACUCCUGACCUCAUGAUCCACCUGCCUUAGCCUCCCAAAGUGCUGGGAUUACAGGCGUGAGCCACCAUGCCCAGCCCUAUAGUAGUUCUUCUUUUGCCCCUUAAUAUCUUCACCCACAUGUCCUGUACCCUGCCUGAACCCUCCUCCUCUUUUUGUUCUGAUCUUUGAGCUCCCUAGAGCCCAUAAUUCUUUAGAGCAGGUAUGUCCCGAGUCUGAAACAUGCCCUUAUUUGUCCCAAGCUCUGGACAUUUCUCACCCCAAGGCGGAUCAAUCAUGAUUAAAUCACUCCAAUUAAACUUUAGGCUCCAGUCAGACCUUCAGCCAAAUGGAAAAAAAAACUAGGGGAUAAGGGAGGUAGUUGGAGCAAGAAAAUGUUAUUAGUUGAAACCUUACGGGACCUUCCUCCCUUAGUGAGUCUGUUGGCUAAAGGUUCUCUGGCUUCGUGAAUUAGAAUCGGAUACUGUUUCCAAGUUAGCAAAACCAACUCUACCCCAGCACCCCACGAGGAAGAAUGUGGAAGGAUCUCCCAUUGGCCGGUUGGGGCAAAAGCCUGAGGCAAUCUUUCAUCCCCUUUUGCCAAGGCGAGACUUUCCCAGUGACGGUGAUGUAGUUGGCCACUCUGACUAUGGGUGGACUCGGGUGUAGACCUCUGAAGCUGAGAUCACACGAAAACCUGGCCUCCCCGCCAUGUAGCUGUUGGAGAGUAGAAAAAUAGAGCACGCCUGAUGUUUCUAAAUGAGAAGACUUUCAAUAGUAAUGAAGAAUCCAUGGCACUCUCCUCACCCUCAAACACAUGGCAGUCAUUCACAUACAGGCCCCAAAGCCACUGUUAGUGCUGCAGUAGCUCCUGUGGACAUUGGAAAGCCCGGAGAGGGCGUGGAAGAAAUCAGCUGGCCCCCGGCAGGUUCUCUGGGGUUUUGUGCCCAAGGCUCCUGGAGCCCUAAAAACUUUCAAAAGUUAACUCCCCACGUCCCCAUCCUGCUUGGGUUUCUGGACUUUUCUGAGGCACCGGCAGAGGGGUCUCGUUGCUCCCUUGAGUGUAGGGGCAGCCCUUUAACCUGGCUCCUUGAGUCCCUGCUUUUUCUGCUUCUGUUGCCUUCUUCCUCGUCUUCCUCUCUCUCAAUAUCUCCCUCUCUUUGUCCCUCCCCAGUUCCUGACCUGGCCAUCCCGGGGUGCCCUUGACCAGCCCCGUGUCUCCUCAGGGUGUCCCAGCACCAGCCUGGCACAGAGUGGGGCUCAGUUAGAGUAUGUGGGAUGUUGGUUUCGCCAGGUGAGUGAAUGAAAGGACUCGACCACCACAGCUGAGCCACUAGCUGGGCCAUGCGAAGAGUUCUAGGUGCAAAGGCUGGAGGGUGGAAUUCAUUUUUGAGAGGUGUGUGAGCAGCUUCCGACCCCUGCCCCAUUUGAACGGGGGCCUUGCUGGUCGCGUCCCUGCAUUCACCCGCGCGGCCAUCCCGUCAUCCAACAGUUGAUCCUAACUGAGCACGCCCACGGCCCUGGUCUGGCCUGGGCACCGGCCACCGUAGCCCAUCCCUUGAUGGCCUCUGUGUCCCCAGGAGGGCGGGCCGGGGGGUUGCCCAGGGGCUGGAGCAGUGGACUGUGGCUCCAUAGAGGUAGGCCGGAGGGUGUGAGGGCAGAUUCAAGCUAUCCCCAGGGCUCUGCUCUGGUCGGAGCCAGCCCCUUCUCCCUCUCUGCCUUCCCCGCCCCAUUCCUGAUGCUGAACUGUUCUGGACCCCUGGCCCUGAGUCUCUCAGGACCAAAGUGGGCACGGGAACAGCUGUAGUGUGUGCCCCCCCGGGCUUUGGCCACAGGUCUCCCUCUCGAGGUGUGGUUGUGACUGCGACCCUUCCCUUGCCGUGAUGCCUUCCUCCCCCGGGGCUUGGUCCAGCUCCUUCACUCUCUAGCAGCUGCUGGGGCCCACCUCCCAUGCCGAGGACCAGCAGGGGAAACCUCCAGGGAGCAUCUGCAGGCUCUGCUUCUGCCCGGCUGCUGGCUUGCUCUCCCUGGUGGCUCUCCAGCGGCCAGCUUCCUCACCCACCCGGCACUCCGCUUUGCUCUGUCUCCUGAGGUGGGCCUGACCAACCUCCCCUUCUCUGCCUCAGUCCCUGGGCUCCAGGGCUCAGCUCCACAGCCCUCUGCCUAGCAGGCUGGUUCUCCCUGCCAAGCCCAUACCUGUGGUCACCUGGCCCUCCUGUGGUCUGAGUACCACUCCCCUGCCCCAGGAGCCACUCCCACUCCAGCUGCCUGUUUCCAGCAGGUUCCCAGUGCCCCCGACAAGCCCCUGCUGGUGUCUCCAUCUCCUGCCAAGCAUCCUCCAGUGCCUCCUCCUGUGGGCCUGGCCUCAGGGCUAUGGACAGACUCCUGUCCCAUCCCAGAGACCCCUCGUGAUCGUGCCCUGGCACGUGGGCCGUGGCCCGGCUGGGUCGGCUGAAGAACUGCGGAUGGAAGCUGCGGAAGAGGCCCUGAUGGGGCCCACCAUCCCGGACCCAAGUCUUCUUCCUGGCGGGCCUCUCGUCUCCUUCCUGGUUUGGGCGGAAGCCAUCACCUGGAUGCCUACGUGGGAAGGGACCUCGAAUGUGGGACCCCAGCCCCUCUCCAGCUCGAAAUCGU